GACCAGCUUGCUGACCGCCGGUCCCCUGUCAUCGAGUUCUGGGAGAACAAAGUCCUGCGGCUCUCCAGGGGACUGGAGGUGCCAGGCGCCCUCAACUGGGAGGUGACCCUGUGUCUGAUGGCCUGCUGGGUGCUGGUCUACUUCUGUGUCUGGAAGGGGGUCAAGUCAACAGGAAAGAUCGUGUACUUCACCGCUACGUUCCCCUACGUGGUCCUUGUGGUGCUGCUGGUACGUGGAGUGCUGCUGCCUGGCGCCUUGGAUGGCAUCAUCUACUAUCUCAAGCCUGACUGGUCGAAGCUGGGGUCCCC